rnacentral:rRNA from 1 species
AGCAGCCGCGGUAAUUCCAGCUCCAAUAGCGUAUAUUAAAGUUGUUGCAGUUAAAAAGCUCGUAGUUGAAUUUCGGGAUCAGUACGCUGGUCGUGCCUCCGGUAUGAACUGGUGUCACUGGUUCCUCCCUUCUGAAGAACCAUCAUGCCAUUCACUUGGUGUGGUGGGGAAUCAGGACUGUUACUUUGAAAAAAUUAGAGUAUUUAAAGCAGGCUCACGCUUGAAUACAUUAGCAUGGAAUAAUGAAAUAGGACGUUGAUCCUAUUUUGUUGGUUUCUAGGAUUGACGUAAUGAUUAAUAGGGAUAGUUGGGGGCAUUAGUAUUCAAUUGUCAGAGGUGAAAUUCUUGGAUUUAUUGAAGACUAACUACUGCGAAAGCAUUUGCCAAGGAUGUUUUCAUUAAUCAAGAACGAAAGUUAGGGGAUCGAAGACGAUCAGAUACCGUCGUAGU